rnacentral:sRNA from 1 species
GCCAGGCAUAGUGGCACACGCCUGUAAUCCCAGCAGCUUGGGAGGCCAAGGCAGGAGGAUCAUGAGUUCAUAGCCAGUCACCCUAAAAGUGAGGCACUAAGCAACUCAGUGAGAUCCUGUCUCUA